rnacentral:rRNA from 1 species
CCUACGGGUGGCAGCAGUCGAGAAUCAUUCACAAUGGGGGAAACCCUGAUGGUGCGACGCCGCGUGGGGGACUGAAGGUCUUCGGAUUGUAAACCCCUGUCAUGUGGGAGCAAAUUAAAAAGAUAGUACCACAAGAGGAAGAGACGGCUAACUCUGUGCCAGCAGCCGCGGUAAUACAGAGGUCUCAAGCGUUGUUCGGAAUCACUGGGCGUAAAGCGUGCGUAGGCUGUUUCGUAAGUCGUGUGUGAAAGGGGCGGGCUCAACCCGCGGACGGCACAUGAUACUGCGAGACUAGAGUAAUGGAGGGGGGACCGGAAUUCUCGGUGUAGCAGUGAAAUGCGUAGAUAUCGAGAGGAACACUCGUGGCGAAGGCGGGUUCCUGGACAUUAACUGACGCUGAGGCACGAAGGCCAGGGGAGCGAAAGGGAUUAGAUACCCUAGUAGUC